rnacentral:sRNA from 1 species
CGGUCCCCAGCUCCGAAAAAAAGAACCAAAAAAAAAAAAAAAGUUGAAAGAAGUUCACUUUCCUAAAACAGACAAUAGAUGGGACUGGUUUAAGCAGUCCUGGCCCAAGGACAGAGAAGCUCACCCUCCUCUCCCAGGUAAUUUCAGACAGGAGGAGGCAGGGCUGUGUAAGCUCGUAGGAGAGGGAGGGGCCGAGGAGAGCAAGCAGCUUUUGUUCUUCAGCCCCAACUGAAGCCCGCCUGCUAACUGUACAAGUUAGCAACGGAGCUAGCCCCUGGUCCCUAAGGAACUAAGGAACUAAGGAAAUGGGGCGGUGCGGCUCACAUCCUCAAGGGUCUGCCCCCUUCCCAGACCAUGUGCUGGGGAAGCCUAAAAAGGGAAAGGAGUCAGGAGAACCUUAGCAGUCUCAGCUUUCCCCACAAGAAACUCCGAAUCAGUCGCAGCUAAGUUUCCUCUCCAACACGUCACUGUUCGUUUCCAUGAGUCGGGGUUCACUUGGGGAACCCACGCACUUUGGGCUGGGGACACUUAUGUUUGCCCCACACCUCGCAUCUGGGUAAGGGGAUACCCAUGAGGGUGGAACCUGAAUGGGAAGCUAGUCUUCAGCCUUCCUCCCCACCCACGGAAACCCAGUUUUGCAUUCUGGCACCCUGGAGCCACACAAAACCAAACUACCCUCAUUUAGGCGCUAUUGGGUCUAGAUCUGUCAGUCUCGUCAAGGGGUGACACAGCUCUACAGAGGAUCCCUAAGUUUUCCCCAGAACCUAAACUGUCUCCCAACUCAGAGCGUCCACAUUCUCACUGUCCCAGGAUGGAAAUGUGCAAGGAGGCCUACUUAACCAAGUACCCAGGGUCUUCAUGAGUUCCGUAUGUUUCAGGGUCUCUCACAGAAUAACAUCCACACAACACUAUAAGGUAGAAAGCGGGGAGAAAUCCCGUGGGGAAGCGUGUUCAGCGGCAGCUGCCGUAACCGUGUUCCGUUGGAACUGCAGUCGCGGUCUAGGUCUGAAAGAAUGUGGAGUAACAAACUCGAGGAAGCUCCUGGGCAUGCGCAGCAGCGCCCCCCCCCCCCCAGCUUCCCCAAGCGAUUAACUUCUGUUUUGAACCACUCCACAUAAAUCACAACAGAAAAGCCAACUCCAGUCCACGACUGGAAAACUCAAGGGACCUCCCAGUCAGGGACUCCAAAGUUAGCCUCAAAAGGGACUUCACAGUCUUUGACCUUUUGGGUUUUUUUUCCCCCUUCCUCCCCUGUGUGUUUUGUUUUUAAACCAGACUGACGGCAAGUUUUAGUUGUAAAGCUUGGUGGAAACAAUGACAGCCUCGCCUUUUGCACUUACAACCAAGCCUGCUUGUCACACUUGGACACUUUUUGACUGCAUGGUACUUGUGUUCUAACAGCUCACACGCUGUCCUAAAUUCAUCGUGGAAAAACUUUCAGAAGCUAGUAAAAUUUUAAAGUCCAUCUUUCCAAGGCUAUGCUCACCCUAGGGCGAUAUAUAAUGGGGUCCGGGAUCACAUUCCUUUGAUAGUGAAAAACACCACAUCCCUUUAAAAAGUGCCAGGAUCCGGUGAGGAGUAAGAAUACCCGGAACCACAAACUUUUAGACAAAAGGUAAGGCGACUGGAAUGCUCCAAGGACCCCCCCACAGGGAAAAGCGAGGUGCGAGGGUCCCCUGGAACAUCGGCCGCAAAGCUCUACCCCAGAAACAGCACUAGAAACCACGCGGUGGCUCGCCUGGGCAUGGGGUGUCAGGGAAGACAAUGAAACUUGGAGGCGCACAAACAAGGCGCUGAGCGUGUUUCUUGACAACGUGCCAGCAGCGUGGCGAGGCUGAGUCUCCCCAUAACAGCCCCUCGUGUUGUGUCUAGAAGAAAAGAACAGCAACUACCAUCAGAGACACAGCCUCAACAAAGAACAGCUACCGCUCCAGCCGGGGAGCCACCGGGCGGAAAAGUCCCAUCAAGGUAGCGGAGCCCAGAAGCAGGGUCAUGUCUGCCAGCCCGUGGCGAGAGUAUGGUCCGCAUCCCUCAGCUGCCACACCGGUUUCUCUUUUGGGGCCUUUCCUCUCCCGGCUGGCGAAGAGUGAGUUUAGUUUGCAAAGGAUGGGGAGAGGGUUAAGGACAUCUCCUCUGUCCACCCCCGGGGAAGAAAAGACACCCCCACCCUUGUUUUUGACAGCUGCCCUAAAACUCCACCGUCCCUGCUCUAGCCGCCCCAGGCAGCGGCUUCUGAUUCAAGGGGUGGGGCACCGAAGGAAAAGUAUUCCGGACAAGAACCAACUUCUUCCAGAAGGUGCAGCUGCCAUUGACACGCGGGCGCGGCGCGGCGCGGCGCACCCUCCUCCUCGUGGACUCUUCUGCCAACAGUGACAGUGGGAGUGUGUGUGUGUGGGGGGGCAGACAUAGGCACCCGGGGCAAAUGUCUAUUCCCCGGGGCUAAAGCUCUGAGUUCCGGAUUGGAUUGCAAGGCAGUUUCGAAAUCUAACACGUUGUGGAUAGACACUUGUCAUACUCACAUGCUCUUUAAACGUCUCGGCCAGGGGACGGCCAGAACGUGCGUGUGUGCCCCACUGCGACUCCCCCACCCCCCACACGCCUUUAGAAAAAAGAUGGACGACUACGCCUGGACUGCUCAUCUGUUUCGGUAAACAGUGUCUACUUUGUGGGCUAAUAUCCCACCAGAGGACACUCCCCUCCACCCUUCAGUAUUUCAAACAGAAACUAGCCAUUAAAUAAACACUCGUUCCUAUUGGUUUAUUUUGCUUGAGAGGGGCGCUCCAAAGGGAGUUCCACGAAGAAUCCCCCCCUCCCCAAAUACAAGCCAGAUGCUGUUUUGGCCAACUUCGAGACGCACAUGCCCGCACUUCUGGGUCUAGAUUCUACCUAUGCCCGGUUGUUUAAAAAAAAAAAAUGCAAAGAAAACCAACUGUCACAUGUCACGGAAGACUUUCCCCAUUAGAGGGGGGGAAAAAAACGAAGAAAAACCCCAAACGUAAAUAAGCUUUGUAGCGACGUCACCGCCGGUGUCUCUAGUUUCGGCUCUGUGGCUGUUCUGGUUUUGUGACCUCGGUGGAGAUCCGGCAGGAGGAGACAGACCCGUGAAAACAAGGUUAAAGCCGAGUCACACUAAGGCGGCCACAGGAUGACCCGCUAGACUUUGGAACCUGUUUACGAUUACGUUGGAAAUUAAAGCAAGCCUCCGCCGCGCCCCCUUCCCAAAGACAACCCGUUCCGAGGAGCGCGUUAAAACCCCCGAGUCAAAAAAGAAGCUUGGGUGGUUUUUCCAAAAUGAACCAAGUGGAGGAAGAGUCACAGUAAGCAGGCAGGAAUCUCAAAACGACCCUCCCCUCCCCCCAAAUCCUGUGGUUUGCAGAGCGCUCGCUCGGUAAGAGAGCACACGCGGGAAUCGGCGCAGGCGGCGGUUGCACGGCAGUGUCCAGGGCGAACCCACCGGCUGGCAAGCACCUCCGCAAGCCGCCCGGGGCGCAGCGCUUUCCCGGACCUGACUGGGGAUGACUCAGCUGCUGCGCUCCAGUGCGGGACUCCUGUGGUGCGGGAGGGGGCCCGCGGAGGGCCCGGGCGCCCGUUGGAGGGCCCUCGCUCUGGGGUUUGAAGGGGUGUUUGUGGCUGGGAUUGGUGGCUCACAUCCGCCGGGGACUCGGGAGAGAUGGGAGGACAGACGCAGGGAGGAGGAGCUGGACGGCGUGAGUGGCAGGAGCCGAGUCCGGACCUGGCGGUGACUGCCUCGUCGCUUUGUUUGCUAACUUGGACUGUGGCUUUCGGGGGGCCACCCCACGGAACCCGCCUCGGGUCCGCUAAGCCCAACCCACGGCAGCACGAGGCCGAAACGUUCCUUCCCGGCGGUUAUGCGCGGCCACGCGGUGGCUCUCAUUAUGUACACAAAGGUAGCUUUUCUUUUCUCCCAAGUCAGCCUGGCUAAUGAAUGCGAUUCUCGGGCGGCACUGGUGGAAACCGGGUUUACCGUUUGAAAACAAACUUUACAGGGCGAGCGGGAGCCGGUACAGAGUAGAAGAAGCCUCUCUCAAACCAGGACGCGAGGGGAAAUGCAGAAUUAAAACUCACCGUGACGCGAAGGCCAGCCGGACCCCGCCAAUGCACACCUCCUGCUCGUGUAAAUCAUUUCGAGGCAGUUGGGAAGCCGGAGCGCGCUGGCCGGGUUCUGAGAUCAGCUGAAGCCCCACGGUGCCCCUCCCCCAGCCCCACUCCACCCCUAAGGCCGAGCUCGUUGGGAGUUUCGCGUUCCCGCAGGACUGUGCGCCGGGUCUUUUACAACUCCAGAAAAGGGGAACGCCCCCGCCCCCCUCCUCCCCGGCGCGAGCUCAUAACAUCCGCAAUAUUUUUUUUUAAUCCGCUGUCUGCACGGCGGAAAAACAAGCUUCGGUUCUGCCUGUGUCAGGGCCUCUCGGUGUAACUGAUUCAAGUGACUUCGGGUUAGUUGCUGUUGCCACGUGUUACUUACUGAACGCUUAUGCCUCAUAAUCAAAUUGUCUAAGUGCAACCGAACGAUUUUUCUGCGCUCUCACAGCCUGGUGAUAACCGUUUCUCACCAUUAUCUCUGUGUGUGUGUGUGUGUGUGUGUGUGUGUGUGUGUGUGUGUGUUGUUGUUGUUGUUGUUGUUUUUCUUCUGUUUUAACAGCUUUUCUUGUCUUAAGACAAGCAGAGCUGUUAAAAAGACAAAUCCGUUUUCGCGGUCUCCAGACCCUGAAAGGGCAGAAAUUCAAAUGGCACAAACUUGGGAAGGCUGAGAGAGGAGGCGGGAUGAAUAAGUAAGUGCUCCAGGUCCGUUAAAGGCUUGAGGGAGGUGUUUGUUUCACCUGGACGGUCGAUUAGGUAUGAUUCCCAUCAGGUGCUGGGUCUGGUGGGACUCACAUAGUCAUUGGAUCUCGUUCCCUCGAAGCCUAGCGAGGGCAGAUAUUUAUAAAAUAUGCAGGCUGCUGGGCUUCCAACACUGCACAAGGGACUUGUAAUCAUCUCGUCACAUCUCAGCUCUGAGGAGCUCUAGCUGCUCAAGGCAAGAGCUAACCAUUGUCUUUGCAAGGGGCCGGAGUUGGUCCCGGCCAUCUUGUGAUGAGUUUAUCAACACUAUCAGAAUAAUUCUCUUCUUCAGAAAUAAGUAGCUGGCACUACUGAUCACUUUCUUCAAGUCAACCCAGUCGCCCGCCUUUCCUUUUUUUUUUUUUUUUAAAGUGGAAGUCACUCUUCUUAACCUAGGUGAUGUGGGCUGAAGUUCCCUGAAAAAGCCACACCUAGCUGAUUCUGCUGGGUGAGUGCUUGAUUAGGGCCUCCUGGUUGGGGACAGUUGGAAUGAUACAGAUCCAGAGUCAGAUUAUCCUGAUCUAUCUUAACUCUCCCUCUUAGCCAUCCAUCACCUGCUUCCGUAUCGGCCUACCCUUCUUUUGACUCUCAGUUUAAAAUUCAGCAGACAGGCAGCUUCCACCACCUCAAUGGCUACAAGUGCCAUAGGUGUGUCAGGCUUCUCUAACUUACCUCACUUCAGCCCCACCAAGGUAUUUGGUAAGUGCGUUCAUUUAUAGCUUUGUGUAUGACUAGCAGCUCAUAUGAUAACUUCCAUGGUGGAACACGUCUCUGGCAUCUACCCAAAUCUGGGUUCCCUGGGCCAUGAUCACCCUCAUACUCGGCUGGGGAUAAAUGAUCUAUUACCGUCUGUCUGUCUGUGGAACGAGAACUGUGGUUUUCUUCUAACAAUGGCCUUAUUGAGCUCUUAGUAUUUAUUUCCUUUAUUUUCAACAUCUUGUAUCUUCAUUGUGCUUCAUGCUUUCUGAAACACUGAAAUGCUCUCAUUUAAUGGCCAAAUUAGUAUAAGUUAUAUUUUUCUUAAAAGUCAAGAUAACUUGAACCAAUUCAAAAGUGCCAUCACUAAACCGCACAGACUACCCAGCCCUCAGAAUCUGUCGUUCUAGAAGGUCACAGGGAUAAUGAUGGCUUAGACAUCAGAGACACCAAGAUCCGAAUAUUGCCAAGGUAGCCUCCAAAUGUCCUUCCUUGGUUAAAAUCCUGAUCUUUCCUACAGUCUUGCUAACCUUGAAGCUUCUGGCUUCCUUUUGGUCUAUCACGUGAGUGUGUUCGAGCAUGGGUGUGUUUGCGCACGUGUGUUGUAUGCACAUGAGUGCAGGUUCACCCUGGAGGCCAGAAGGUUUUGCCCAGGCUGGCUGGAGGGAUCACAGGCUGCUGCCUACUCAACUUGACCUCUCUGGAAGAGAAGGGAAUGUUUUCACCUACUGAUCUAUUUUUCCCCCCUUAAGUUCAAAUUUCUGUGUUUAAGAGAAUCAGCUCAUUGUGUAUUCAUCUGUCAUUCUCAUUUCUUCUUGUCUGUUUGUAAUCAUAGCCACAUUACUUUUUAAAACUUUUUAUUUGUGUGUGUAUGUGCCUGAGAGAGACAGAGACAGAGACAGAGAGACAGAGACUAUAUGUGGAUCUGGGGACCUGAGGUGCUGCAUUGCCAGGAGUUGGUUCUCUUCUCCCACCAUGUGGGGAUUAAACUUGGGUAACCAAGCUUGCACGGUAAAAGCUUGAACCUAAUGAGCCAUUUUGCUGGCCCCCUUUGCCAGGUUUUCUAUGGUACCUUUAGGGAGUACCCUGGCUGGCCUUGAACUUGCUGGGUAAAUGGUGGGUGAAACCCAGGCAGGACCUAGUGCAGGCAAACCCUCUCUCACCACGGCUAUACCUCAGCCUGGAUGGUUUUGUAUCUACCUUUACAGCUCAUCUGGGGGCUGUGGAGAUGGCUCAGAGGUUAAGAACACUGACUGCUAUUUUAGAGGUCCUGACUUCAAUUUCCAGCAACCACAUAAAUAAAAUAAGUAUUUA